CCCUUUUAAUCAGUGAAACUGAUCUCCCCGUGAAGAAGCGGGGAUAACUAUAUAAGACGAGAAGACCCCAUGGAGCUUUAAACCCAGCAACACCUAUCUUUAUACACCCUUAUAUUCACGUAACUCUACUUGCUCGGUUUUAGGUUGGGGUGACCGCGGAGCACAACAAAACCUCCACGAAAAAAGGACCAACAAUCCUUAUCCAAGAUGCACAUAUCUAAGAAUUAAUAUAUUAACUUUUAAUGAUCCGUUAUUCGAUCAACGAACCAAGUUACCCUGGGGAUAACAGCGCAAUCUACCUCGAAAGCUCCUAUCGACAGGUAGGUUUACGACCUCGAUGUUGGAUCAGGGUAUCCCAGUGGUGCAGCAGCUACUAAAGGUUCGUUUGUUCAACGAUUAAAACCCU
rnacentral:rRNA from 1 species